UCUAUGAGGUAAUCUCACCUAUACUAAUUUCUGGGAAAUGAAUCUGGCAUAUGGCUGUGUCAGAGACUGGGGCUCCGGACAUAAGGUAUCUGUAUUUAAGAAUUCUGACAAAAUGCCCUUGUGAAGGAAGCUAUCCCAGAAUCAGAAAGAAAACAACACUCUCUCCUAGAUAGAAUGAUGGAGCUGAGGGACCCUGCAUCUUCUGGUCUCCAGGACCAUGUGAGGGAGUGUGAUAGACAUAGACAAAAAAAGGAAGAGGAAAAAGUUACCUACCACCUUGAAGCUUAAAGCUAUUGGUGACCCGCAGAUAAGUGAUGGAAAUCUUGCUCUCCUGGUGGCAUGUGGGUGAACAAGUCUUCUUGGAUGUCUAUCCCUUGGAAGCCUGAAUGAUGUUUCCUUUCUCCUUGGCUAACAGCCACAUGCUAGGGCCACAGCUCUGUCUCCCACUCUAGCUAAUAGCUGGUGACCUUUAAAAAUCUCAGCCACCUUGAAGACUAUGAGGCCUUGACUUGUGAGUCCAGCUUGUGAACCCAUUUGAGCUUUGCUCCACUCUGCACUGGGGGGAAAUUCUUGGCCCCUAUCACUGCCAGAGUCAGCUAAUCUCCAUGGAAUACUCAGAACCUCAAACUCCUGUGCUGUCCUCAGCCUCUGCUAAUCACUUCUAACCACGUCUACCUGAACCUUUCUGCUUCCUUGAAUGUUGAGGCCCACUCCAGCACCACCCCCAUUUUCAGUGUGAACAUGCCUAGUGCACUCAGGGUUCAGUAGGCUGGCCUGGAAUUCACCUGUUACAUCCCCUCUUCACU